rnacentral:rRNA from 1 species
AGGCGCGAAACCUCCACAAUUCACGAAAGUGAGAUGGGGUUACCUCGAGUGCCGCCUGAAGAAGGCGGCUUUUCCAUUGUGUAAUGAGCCGUGGGAAUAAGAGGGGGGCAAGACUGGUGUCAGCCGCCGCGGUAACACCAGCCCUUCGAGUGGUGGGGAUGAUUAUUUGGCCUAAAGCGUCCGUAGCCGGCUCUGUAAAUCUCUCGUUAAAUCCAACGUCCUAAGCGUUGGGCUGCGAGGGAGACUGCAGAGCUAGAGGGUGGGAGAGGUCAGCGGUAUUCCUGGGGUAGGGGCGAAAUCCAUUGAUCCCAGGAGGACCACCAGUGGCGAAGGCUGCUGACUAGAACACGCCUGACGGUGAGGGACGAAAGCUGGGGUAGCGAAUCGGAUUAGAUACCCGAGUAGUCCCAGCUGUAAACGAUGCAGGCUAGGUGUUGGGCUGGCCAUGUGCUGGCUCAGUGCCACAGGGAAGCCAUUAAGCCUGCCGCCUGGGGAGUACGGCCGCAAGGCUGAAACUUAAAGGAAUUGGCGGGGGAGCACCACCAGGCGUGAAGCCUGCGGUUUAAUUGGAGUCAACGCCGGGAAUCUUACCGGGAGCGACAGCAGAGUGAAGGCCAGGUUGAAGGUCUUGCUGGACGAGCUGAGAGGAAGUGCAUGGCC